rnacentral:rRNA from 1 species
AGAGUUUGAUCCUGGCUCAGAUUGAACGCUGGCGGCAGGCCUAACACAUGCAAGUCGAGCGGAUGACGGGAGCUUGCUCCUUGAUUCAGCGGCGGACGGGUGAGUAAUGCCUAGGAAUCUGCCUGGUAGUGGGGGACAACGUUUCGAAAGGAACGCUAAUACCGCAUACGUCCUACGGGAGAAAGCAGGGGACCUUCGGGCCUUGCGCUAUCAGAUGAGCCUAGGUCGGAUUAGCUAGUAGGUGAGGUAAUGGCUCACCUAGGCGACGAUCCGUAACUGGUCUGAGAGGAUGAUCAGUCACACUGGAACUGAGACACGGUCCAGACUCCUACGGGAGGCAGCAGCGGGGAAUAUUGGACAAUGGGCGAAAGCCUGAUCCAGCCAUGCCGCGUGUGUGAAGAAGGUCUUCGGAUUGUAAAGCACUUUAAGUUGGGAGGAAGGGUUGUACGUUAAUACCGUGCAAUUUUGACGUUACCGACAGAAUAAGCACCGGCUAACUCUGUGCCAGCAGCCGCGGUAAUACAGAGGGUGCAAGCGUUAAUCGGAAUUACUGGGCGUAAAGCGCGCGUAGGUGGUUCGUUAAGUUGGAUGUGAAAGCCCCGGGCUCAACCUGGGAACUGCAUCCAAAACUGGCGAGCUAGAGUAUGGUAGAGGGUGGUGGAAUUUCCUGUGUAGCGGUGAAAUGCGUAGAUAUAGGAAGGAACACCAGUGGCGAAGGCGACCACCUGGACUGAUACUGACACUGAGGUGCGAAAGCGUGGGGAG